AACUUCAUUGGGUGGCGUUUGCGGAAAAGGACGCAUUCCACACUCCACAGUAUUGACUAGAGACUCCAACUCAAACCGUUUUUUGUUGGCAAGCAAUGUAAGAACCUGUCCUGACGGGGUGGAGUUUGAUAGAGCCAUAACGUGCCUUUCAGCUGAACCGUGUCAGAAUGGAGGAUACAGCAUCACUGAUCAAAUGGGACGCUUCUUAAGAUGUCACUGCCGUUACGGAUUCAGUUCACCGUUAUGUGAAUAUCAGUGUGAGAUUAAGACAAAUCCUCUGCCCGGACAUAGUCUGAGGCGUUUAGACUGGUCAAGAAAACGAAUAGCGAUGACUUUCAAAGCUACGACAAUAGGUUUAGUAUUAUCUGCUAACAGGAAUACAAACAACC